rnacentral:rRNA from 1 species
AACGAACGCUGGCGGCAUGCCUAACACAUGCAAGUCGAACGAGACCUUCGGGUCUAGUGGCGCACGGGUGCGUAACGCGUGGGAAUCUGCCCUUGGGUUCGGAAUAACAGUUAGAAAUGACUGCUAAUACCGGAUGAUGACGUAAGUCCAAAGAUUCAUCGCCCAAGGAUGAGCCCGCGUAGGAUUAGCUAGUUGGUAAGGUAAAGGCUUACCAAGGCGACGAUCCUUAGCUGGUCUGAGAGGAUGAUCAGCCACACUGGGACUGAGACACGGCCCAGACGCCUACGGGAGGCAGCAGUGGGGAAUAUUGGACAAUGGGCGAAAGCCUGAUCCAGCAAUGCCGCGUGAGUGAUGAAGGCCUUAGGGUUGUAAAGCUCUUUUACCAGGGAAGAUAAUGACAGUACCUGGAGAAUAAGCUCCGGCUAACUCCGUGCCAGCAGCCGCCGCCG